GAUGAACGCUGGCGGCGUGCCUAGUACAUGCAAGUCGAGCGAACAGACGAGGAGCUUGCUCCUCUGACGUUAGCGGCGGACGGGUGAGUAACACGUGGAUAACCUACCUAUAAGACUGGGAUAACUUCGGGAAACCGGAGCUAAUACCGGAUAAUAUAUUGAACCGCAUGGUUCAAUAGUGAAAGACGGUUUUGCUGUCACUUAUAGAUGGAUCCGCGCCGCAUUAGCUAGUUGGUAAGGUAACGGCUUACCAAGGCAACGAUGCGUAGCCGACCUGAGAGGGUGAUCGGCCACACUGGAACUGGGACACGGUCCAGACUCCUACGGGAGGCAGCAGUAGGGAAUCUUCCGCAAUGGGCGAAAGCUUGACGGAGCAACGCCGCGUGAGUGAUGAAGGUCUUCGGAUCGUAAAACUCUGUUAUUAGGGAAGAACAAAUGUGUAAGUAACUAUGCACGUCUUGACGGUACCUAAUCAGAAAGCCACGGCUAACUACGUG
rnacentral:rRNA from 1 species